rnacentral:tRNA from 1 species
GACAGCUACCCAGCUGCCUAGGACACCGCCCUUUCACGGCGGUAACAGGGGUUCGAAACCCCUAGGGGACGCCA